UGCUAGUAGAAUGGGAAAACACACCUUUCAGAUUUGCAAGGAGGUUAGAAAAAUAGAACACGGAAUGCAUAAGAUAGAACCUUAUGCACAGUAAAUGUUCAGUCAGAGCUAGAUGAUAUUUAGAAUAUAGUAUCUUCAAAAAAAGACCAAGGUCCUUUGGAGGAAAGAUGAUUUCAUACAGACCCAUUUCAAGCUAAUGGGUUGCCCUGCCAUGUUUCUUUAAACGUUCAUUGGGGUCUUGAAAAAAAACGCUGGCUGUUACUGGAUAACACCGUAAGCUCUGGAGCUGGUUUAGACCAGGCCAGACUUAGGAAAGUACUGACUCGAUGCUGAAGCCACGGAGCUGUCCUUAUCAGCCAGGAUCGAAUGGUUGUCUAAGUUCCUUCCCACAUCUGACCAGAAGCCCUUUGGAGUUGGUAACAUGAUUCUUGGGCGUCUGGGCCGUUGAUCCUGAGAACCUCAAGUCUGCUUUUUCAACCCUGAGGGGAAUUCCAAAGAAAUACUCAGUACCUGUAGUUCACACGUGGUGGUUUCCAGGGCCUUCUGAGUUCUCUCUUCCACAACAGAGUUCAGCUGAGAGGUCGGGUUAAAGAAAGUGUGGAAUUGGAGACAGCGGGGUAGAAGAACCAAUGAGUACGGCGAAGAGAGAACCAACGGAGAAAGAUUUCAGUGAGCGCGGGAAGAGAAGCAACAGUGUCCGAUCCCGGUUCCCAAUAAGACACUGCAAAGGAAUGCACUGAGUGUAUAAGGCUCCUUUGAGGUUCAAAAAAUAGAGAAAGAAAAAGCGUUGCCUUUGCAGCCUACCCAGGUGUUCUCUAAACACUGUAAUUUCUUCUUUGUGGGUCGGUGGCCCAGCUGCAUCUUUCCCACGCACCUCGUGACCAUCUCCAGCACUGACCUCCAGCCACUAGGCUCACAAAGAGUUGUUUCAAAAGCACCUUUUUGUGGCAGGAUUCUGGGAUCGGAUCUAAGAAGCCAGUUAACUAAAGGCAGCCAUGUGAUUACGAGGAGCAGUGCAUAGCCUUCCCCUCUGCGAAUCAGACAGAGAGAGCCUCACCACCCUCUGAGCUUACAGAAACAUCUUGAUAUUAUCCAAAAAGGCAUUGGUUCUGUGUUGCUGUUCCAGGUCUCUACAGCUGAGAUAAGGAUGAAGGACCAUCUUGGCACUAACUGAAGUCUGGAAGAUCGAAGAGUAUCCUACUGACAUCCUACCCUGUGAAAAAAAGUCCACACUGACAAAGGACGGAGUGUCAAUGCUAAUUCCCUAGAAGACUUGAUUAGAUAAACGGAUUCACGGAUACUUCUGGGCACUCAGCAAAUCAUUAGUGGGAUCCGGGGCUUUUAUACCACUUAUAAUACAACCAGAAGCUUGGAUAACAAUGUGUACCUGCCCAUGUGACUCAAAUACCAUUUCUCUCCACAGAAAAGACCAUGAGAAGUGACUUGGUGGAGAAAGUGUUUAAUUUUCAAAGCUUCAGAAUUUUAACAUGUUAUAUGCUUUCAAGACGCACAACAGUAGAAAACAUAUCUGAAGUUGGCUGUACAAAUUGCCCUAGAUUUUUGAAGCUUUCUGCUUCCCUUUCUCAGAGGGGGUACAUAGCACUAAGGCAUGCAAGAAUACUGACACAGUAGAUCCAUCUGCUACCAGAGAAGAAGGGCAAGGGUGCACAGAAAAACACCCCAACUCUCUCCCUGCCUGGGGGACAGUUCUGAGAUGUGCCCUUAAAGGUUUUCAGAGAUAAGAUCGGAGUUACCCACAGUGUUAUCCUGCUCAUUAAUAAAUCUUACGCU